AUUGAACGCUGGCGGCAGGCCUAACACAUGCAAGUCGAGCGAGCGGCGGACGGGUGAGUAAUGUCUGGGAAACUGCCUGAUGGAGGGGGAUAACUACUGGAAACGGUAGCUAAUACCGCAUACCAUCAGAUGUGCCCAGAUGGGAUUAUCUAGUAGCGGGGGUAACGGCUCACCUAGGCGACGAUCCCUAUCUGGUCUGAGAGGAUGACCAGCCACACUGUAACUGAGACAGGUUCCAGAUGCAGACGAGAGGCUGCAUGGGGGAAUAUUGCACAAUGGGCGCAAGCCUGAUGCAGCCAUGCCGCGUGUGUGAAGAAGGCCUUCGGGUUGUAAAGCACUUUCAGCGGGGAGGCGUUACCCGAAGAAGAAGCACCGGCUAACUCCGUGCCAGCAGCCGCGGUAAUAC
rnacentral:rRNA from 1 species